CAUUUUUUUUUAUUUAUUUUAUUAAAAAUUUAAUUUUACUAAAAUGUAAAAAGACAUUUAUAAUUUAGAAAGACGACAAGACCCUAUUGAACUUAACUUAAGUUAAACUGGGGCAGUAAAUUAAUUAUAAUUUUAAUUAUGUAAUAUAUAUAAAUAUCCAAUAUUAUUUAAUAAUGCAGUUACCAUAGGGAUAACAGCGCAAUUAAAUUUUAAAGUUCUUAUAUAAAAUAUAGAUUACGACCUCGAUGUUGAAUUAAUAACCUAUUUUAAGCAAAUUUAAAAAAAGGGAGUCUGUUCGACUUUUAAAAAAUUACAUGAUUUGAGUUCAGACCGGUUUAAGCCAGGUCGGUUUCUAUCUUCUAAAUAAUUUUUUACAGUACGAAAGGACCUAAAAAUAUUUUAUAAAUUUGGCAGAUUAAUGCAUUAGAAUUAGAAUCUAAAUAACU
rnacentral:rRNA from 1 species